AGGUCGAUGGAGGCUUGAUGCGGAAUCAGAUUUCGAAGGCCUUGUCAGUGCCAAGUCUUAAUUGAAUUUGAUUUGCCUGCAAUUUCUUUGACAGACAGUCAAAAUAGCCUUCCAAAAUUUUCUCGUGAUAACCUACAGCGAAACAUUAAUCCCUACUGGAUUUCAGAAAAAGAAAGGACACGCUUGUUCGGGUCCAGUGCUUCCAUUCCCUCUGGAGGCGAUGCAGAUUUUGCUUCAGCAGUCAGGAAAACGACAAAGAUUCUCUCAUCUUGAAGUAUGAUCUGAAUGGCUCUUCAGGCUCAAGCAUUGGAUCGGGUAGAAUUUCACAAGUCCCAGCAGGUUCUUACAAUAGUGGCCAGGGCAAGGGGCUUAUGUUGAUAACUUGCAAAAUAGGGGAUCUGCUCGCACAACUCCUGUCUGGCUUGAAACUGGAGAGGCAGUCGGUAAUAUUUUCAAGGCAAUAAAUUUAACUUGCUCUGUAAAACUUUGAUUGAGGGGCAAAUGCUUUCUGCAAGUGUACAUGCUUUUAACUUUGUUGAGAUUGCAGCAAAUACGUAUUCUGAAAUGCAGGAGGAAGCCCUUGAUCGCGCAUGCUUGCAUAACUCAUACUUAGAACAGGUACGCCCUAUAAGUAUUUAUUAAAAGGAAAAAGUGGAAGAAAUGAACAAUAAAUUUCAAGUCUAACGAUAUCUUUAGGAUUUUACUACAUGAAAAAACUCAAACUGGGAAAAGGAGUUGCAAGGUCAUAGACUUCCUUCUGGCUCCAGUAAAGAACUGUUUCCACGACCCUGCAGUAAAUGCAAAGUGGAAUAUUCUUUUGUCUUAAAUGACAUUGUAGUGAGCUGGGCUUGUCAAUACUACAUCCAUUCUAUGGGAUAUAUAUUAUGUGGAGAGUGGAUGGAUUGAAUCUAGUUGUUUGUUCUCUUUCUCUCUCUCUCAAACAAACACACACGAGCUUGAUGACAUCCAUGUACACAUGAGUAAAUUGGCUUGCAGAAAUUACAUUUUAGUAUGUACAUUUUCAUGAACUGCAACAUUCUGAUUGUUUGAUCUAAAUCCUCUGAAUAACUCUUUGAGGGAUUAGGCCAGGCAGGCAUACCUUAUUGGUAACAAGGCUUUAUCGAAGGAGUCGAACGUCAAAGGACAGUUGCAUAACAUGCAGAGGAAGGGGACCCAUGCUUGUUCGAAUUUUUGAUUAAAUGUAGAUAAUGUUACUUAUGAUGCUGGAAAGGAAAAGCCGAACGUACAAUCUGUUUUGCUACUGUGUAGUUGGCGAAUGGCAAAUAUACAAUUUUGCAGUUGUAACCAUUUGCAUCGACUUCGUUUUUGUUUCUUGUUUUACAGUUUGUAUAUGCAGAUGUAACUGAUAUCUGAAAUUCCAUCAAGGGUUUGGAAGUCUUCUCAAGACUAGGGACAUUUUCAAGAUUAUUUGAUAUAUCUACAGUGUUGUAACACAAAAGAUUGAAGAACAACUAUUUAGGUUCCAUGAGAAAAGUUAUCAGUGUUAUUUACCGUGAAUAAUAAGAUCCUGGAAGAAAAAUAAACCCAUAACAGAAACAAAAAGAAGAGAAAAGAAAACAAAUAGUUCAUGCAGUCGAACACAAGCCUACAUCAAUGGCAAGAUUCACUCUGAAGAGAACUUGGCUCUGAGCUGCUGAGUUUUCACUCCAGAAAUAACCAGAUUUUUAUAUCCUUCAAUUCAAUCAAAAUUAGUUCAAAUACCAAACAUCUUGGUUUUUUUCCACUGUUGUUCUGGCUGGCAUAAACCAUAAACAUUUGUGUAGCCUGUUUUCACUUUUACUGAUACUAAAUUGUCUUUAAUUUGUUAACCAUGUACUAAGAUCAACAUUUGAAAAACAGGUCCACUUUGGCUAUUUCGGAAUGAAAAUUUGUGAGUUGGUCGGAUUUACCGGUCACAAGAGGCUGCAUUUCUUGACGUUUCUUUAUGGAACAAUUGAAGAAGUCCUUUCAAUGAGUCCAGAAGUCGUUUCAAUUUCCCAAAUGAGAUAGACCUGACAGCAGUACACUAGCUGACAAUGGGAAGUUACGACAAGAAUCUUGAAGAAUGCCUACACUACACCAAGAGUGGAUGCGCCUUCAAGAGCAAGAACUAUCUGAACUCAACCAUGCGAUAAUAUUAAGGGAACAAGGCUAGCUAAAUGAAGCAGAUAUGAAACAACUCAUCGACAAAAUUAUGCAACACUUUGAAGAUUAUGUGGAGAAACGAAGGUGUCUCGCUCACAAAGAUGUCUCGACCUUCUUUUUGCCUUACUUGGUGCAACGCAUUCGAGACUCUACCAUGGGUUGCUCAUAUUUCAGCCUCGUUUAUGCACUCUGUGGAUUUGAAAUCGACUCCAGACUCCAAGAGCUUCUUCAAGGAGCAGGAGAUGCAAAGCCUAGUGACUUCUCCGGCAUUUCAACUUUCUUGACAAUCUACAAAGGAGGAGCAUUGGAGAGGAAGAAAAAGUAUCGACUGAGAUGGCUAUACUGCAGCAGGACAUGGUGUACAUGCCGUUAGCACUGAUAGCGAGAAAAUCAGGUCCAAAACACGAACAAGAGAUGCAUUAAAGAAGAUCAAUCAGGCCAUGAUUUCUUCUAUGGAAGAAGCUGAUAUGUUGAGACUAAACACGGUCGAGGAAACAAUUAGCAUACUUACACCCAUGCAAUGCAAGUUUUUUGGAUUUCAUGGCUUCGCUAAGAAACUUCAUCUUUGCACGCAAGCAUGGGGUAAAGAGAGUGACAAUGACCAUGGUCGAAACUAGGAACAAAAGAUGUCCAUGGAAGUCUUGUUAUGCUGUAUGAUCGAAUUUGACUAGGACUUCGCGUUUUAUGAUCAAGUAUUUCUCCCUUACUGCCACCUACUGUAUUUCUAUGAUCGUUUGAAGGGGAAAACUGAAACAGAAUUCAAAUUGUUUGAAGAUUAAGCAGUUGGGGAAGGGGUGAAAACCUUACAAUUCAAGCAGUUUGAAUUCUGUUUCAAUUCUCUGUCUUCCAUGUUUUUUA